AGUGAACGCUGGCGGUAGGCCUAACACAUGCAAGUCGAACGGCAGCACAGUAAGAGCUUGCUCUUACGGGUGGCGAGUGGCGGACGGGUGAGGAAUACAUCGGAAUCUACUUUUUCGUGGGGAUAACGUAGGGAAACUUACGCUAAUACCGCAUACGACCUACGGGGGAAAGCAGGGGAUCUUCGGACCUUGCGCGAUUGAAUGAGCCGAUGUCGGAUUAGCUAGUUGGCGGGGUAAAGGCCCACCAAGGCGACGAUCCGUAGCUGGUCUGAGAGGAUGAUCAGCCACACUGGAACUGAGACACGGUCCAGACUCCUACGGGAGGCAGCAGUGGGGAAUAUUGGACAAUGGGCGCAAGCCUGAUCCAGCCAUACCGCGUGGGUGAAGAAGGCCUUCGGGUUGUAAAGCCCUUUUGUUGGGAAAGAAAAGCAGCAGGUUAAUACCCCGCUGUUCUGACGGUACCCAAAGAAUAAGCACCGGCUAACUUCGUG
rnacentral:rRNA from 1 species